UCCGUAGGUGAACCUGCGGAGGGAUCAUUACACAACAAAAUAUGAAGGCCUGGCUUUGCGGCCGGCUGAAAUAUUUUUUUCACCCAUGUCUUUUGCGCACUUGUUGUUUCCUGGGCGGGUUCGCCCGCCACCAGGACCAAACCAUAAACCUUUUUUUUAUGCAGUUGCAAUCAGCGUCAGUAUAAACAAUGUAAUUAUUACAACUUUCAACAACGGAUCUCUUGGUUCUGGCAUCGAUGAAGAACGCAGCGAAAUGCGAUACGUAGUGUGAAUUGCAGAAUUCAGUGAAUCAUCGAAUCUUUGAACGCACAUUGCGCCCUUUGGUAUUCCAAAGGGCAUGCCUGUUCGAGCGUCAUUUGUACCCUCAAGCUUUGCUUGGUGUUGGGCGUUUUUGUCUCCCUCUUUGCUGGGAGACUCGCCUUAAAACGAUUGGCAGCCGGCCUACUGGUUUCGGAGCGCAGCACAUAUUUUGCACUCUGUAUCAGGAGAAAAGGACGGUAAUCCAUCAAGACUCUUACGAUUUUUAACUUUUGACCUCGGAUCAGGUAGGGAUACCCGCUGAACUUAAGCAUAUCAAUAAGCGGAGGA
rnacentral:rRNA from 1 species